GCCUAGCCGUAACAAAACAAUUAAAUAACUAAUUGUUCGCCAAAUAACUACGAGUGAAAACUUAAAAUUUAAAAGACUUGACGGUGCUUCACACCAACCUAGAGGAGCCUGUCUAAUAACCGAUAAUCCACGAUUCAACCAACCCACUCUAGCCUAACAGUCUAUAUACCGCCGUCGCCAGCUUACCUUGUGAAAGAAAUAAAGUAAACCUAAUAACACCACAUUAAUACGACAGGUCGAGGUGUAACUAAUGAGCGGGUCAAAGAUGGGCUACAUUUUCUAACCCAGAAAACACGGAUAAACUAUGAAACUAGAAACUGAAGGCGGAUUUAGCAGUAAGCUAAGAACAGAAUGCUCAGCCGAAACCAACGCAAUGAAGUGCGCACACACCGCCCGUCAUCCCUGUAAAAAAAUAUAAAUUAUUCAUAAACAAAUUAUUGACCAUAAAGCAGGGCAAGUCGUAACAUGGUAAGCGUACUGGAAGGUGCGCUUAGAAA
rnacentral:rRNA from 1 species